ensembl:lncRNA
UACACCCCCAUUGGAAGGAAGACAAUCACUGCGAAAUGCGUUCCUUUGUUGGUUAAAGGGGUUAAAUAUACAAUUAAAAAGAAGCUCCAGACCCAAUCAUCUGUUUCCGUAACAGCUGACAUAUGGUCUGACCAAAUCAUGUGGAAAAUUGGUGUCACAGCCCAUAGAUUAAAUCAAACUGAAAAUCAGUUGGAGUCCUUUCUGUUAGACUGUAGACAGUUUAGUGGCAGGCACAAUGGAGAGAACAUAGGCUUGGCAUUUGACGAGAUGAAUAUAACACAGCAAGUAAAGUUAGGCACAUUAUCACUGAUAACGCAGCCAACAUAAAGUGCAUUUAAAGUCAAGCUACCAAAGGAGGAGCAGCACAGUGAUGAUAGUGAUGUGGAAGAAGAAAACUUAGAUGAUAAGAGUCUUUGGGAGGAUGGAGCCUAUUGAGAGCAAGAUACUUUGACUGCCUAAGUUGAGGCCACAGCAGAAGAAGACAUGCUGGAUUCUGAAGUUAACAGUGAUACAACCAUAGACUCUCCUCCUGGCAUCUAGCUGGCAUGAGAACCAAGCCAAGGAAGACACACUGGAUACCUCCCCACCCGGGCCUCUGCAUCCUCGGUUGUACCCUCUCUCCUCCACUAAACACUAUUCACUAUGUACUCUACCAUCUAGUGUAUGAAUUUUAGAAGGGUAGUUUCAUCUCAAAUGGAACACUAAAGGUUUUUUUACUAACUGGAAAUAUAAGCUAUUUCACAGUCAUUGGCAUUAGUUCUGCAUAUGUAGAACAAGGUAACUUCUCUGUAGGACCUGGAGGGCUCAAGAUGUUGGAACUUUGAGGAUUUCUCUGCUCGAACACAGUUCAGUCAAUGACUCCAUUCAUAAGCAAGAAAAUCAUUGAACUGAGCUUACUGGAUGGACUUGUGCACCCCUGGUCUGUAGUUAUGGCAUAAGGAGUAUUAGAUGUUCAUAUUGCAUAAAUAUUUAUAUAAAAAGAAAUACUGGAGUAUUGUUAGUACGAUCAAGAAUUUUGGGAAAAUAAACCGCAAGAUAUUAUGGAGAUGGAAUUAGCACAGUUCUGAAGUUAUUAGUGCACUAAACAAACAAGCUCUUAUGUAACUAAUGUGGCAACUCCCCCACCCAGACUGAAUCAGGUAUUCUCUCUAUUUUUACUAAUUAGGAGUUUUGUACUUGUAGACUUUGUGGUUAGAAGCUAAAGAGCUUUUCACUUGUGUCUAAUAAUAGCUUGUCUCAGUUGUGCAUGUGUUUUUCCUUCACUGGUUAUUAAAAAG